rnacentral:rRNA from 1 species
CUCCUUAACACGUAGUCAACCUGCCCUGGAGACAUGGACAACCCCGGGAAACUGGGAUUAAUCCGUGAUAGGUCAUCUCAUCUGGAAGGAGAGAUGGCUUAAAGGGGCGCGCGGGCUUCUUCUGCGCGUUCGCUCCAGGAUGGGACUGCGUCCGAUCAGGCUGUUGGCGGGGUAAUGGCCCACCAAACCUGUAACCGGUACGGGCCUUGAGAGAGGUGGCCCGGAGAUGGACACUGAGAGAAGGGUCCAGGUCCUACGGGGCGCAGCAGGCGCGAAACCUUCGCAAUGCGCGAAAGCGUGACGAGGUUAAUCCGAGUGGCCCCCGCUGAGGGGGUCUUUUGUCAGCUGUAAAUAGGCGGGCGAAUAAGGGGAGGGCAAGCCUGGUGUCAGCCGCCGCGGUAAUACCAGCUCCUCGAGUGGUCGGGGCGAUUAUUGGGCCUAAAGCAUCCGUAGCCGGUUCCGUAGGUCCUCUGUUAAAUCCACCCGCUUAACGGGUGACCUGCAGAGGAUACCGCGGGACUAGGAGGCGGGAGAGGCGGACGGUACUCCGCGUGUAGGGGUAAAAUCCUUUGAUCCGCGGAAGA